UGUUCAUUCCAGGAACUCUCUCUUACACACACACACAUUCUGUGUGACUCACGUUUUAGACACAUUUCUGUGUUUUAGAAAUUUUUGAACGAUCUGAAUCUGAAACUUUUCUUUAACGGACUUCGUGAGAAAUCAAGAUGAAUUUUCCAGCCUUGCUCUCCGAUUCUCUCGGUCUGCCUGCUGGUCUGGUUCUGGUUCUGGACCUUUUCUGGCGAACCGAGGUUCCAAACAGAAACUAAACAGCCCGAACGAGGCACACCUGGCAGCACAUUGAGGGAGACUUGGGCUCAGAACUGGUAGCAACAGGCUACAUGAAGAGACUGGCAAGACAACAAAUGACUCGAGACACGGAGACAUUAAAUACACAGCAGGAUGAACGUCUCGUGUUUCCGCUCGUCUCAACCUGCUGCGGCCACCAUCCUGUUCGACCUGCACACCGACCCCACCAACCUGGGAGAGGCCGGACGGACCGGCGUCCCUCCCGGCCUACGGCGGAGCGGCUCUUCGUCCCGCUGCUCCGCCUGUCUGGACCGCGGACACCGGGAUGUGUUCGCGGUCCGCGGCUCUUUACGCGACGGAGCCGCAGUGAUGAUGGAGGCGAUGGAGGCGAUGGAGAUCACAGCGGCUGCCAAUCAGAGCUUGGAGAGAAAAGAUCCGCGUCCUGUCCCACGUUUUGGAAAAAUCAUAACCUGAAGAGAUUUGGGUUCAACACGUUUGGAGCUCCGGUGGAGCCAGCUGCUUAUUGUCAGAAUAAAUAAAUAAAUGAAAAACAUUAUUAUCCAACUUCCUCUCUUCUUCUUCUCCUUUUUCUCCAGUUGUAACUCUCGGAUCUUGAUCUCAUGACUCUGCAGUUUUACUGCUGAACAAUCAUCUCAACACCGAAAACCUCUGAUCGAAAAUGUCGUUUUAUCCAGAUUAGCCUGUUUCCAUUAAGCUAAUUUAUUUUAUGUUAUGGUUUAAGGAAAUGCAGCUCGUGUUACUGAUCUAAUAAAAGGUUGAGAUCUUUAUCUGAUCAGCAGAUCGAACAGCAGAAUUAUCUUUAUCGUUACUGUAAAAUAAUCAACUUCUCUGAAUCCAACGACGAUUAUUAUUAUUAUUAUUAUUAUUAUUAUUAUUAUUAUUAUUAUUAUUAUUAUUAUUAUUAUUAUUAUUAUUAUUAUUAUUACUAAUAAUAAUAAUUCUCGAACCUUUAAUCUGAUUCAUCAGAGUUAAAAAUUUGCUGACUCUGCAGAAUAUUAUCUAAGCAUUUUAUUUUAAUGUUCCGGUUUCAUGUCGGUUUAUAAAACGCACAGAGAACCGGGCCGAAGCAGAACCAGGUUCGGCUCAUAAUUGACCCGCAGGUCACUGAAACAGUCUCAUUAUGAGAAAAAUGAAUAUUUUCAGAAUAAAGGCCCAAUAUGACCUGAAGUCUUAAGAUUUAGAGAGAAAAAACUUUUCUGAUGAGAAAAAUGUUAAAAUUAUGACCAGCUCGGAAAGGUUAUUUUUUUAAAAUUUAAAACUGUUUCUUAAUAAUAAAGACGCAAUAUGUACAUAUAAAUACAUAUAAAGUGAAACUCUAACCAGCUCCUCCGGUCCGGAUGUUUUAUUUUUAUGUUUCGUCUCAACGAUUAUUUACAAUUUGACUCCGACAUGUUAAAAAAAAAUUAAACAUCUGGAUAUUUAUAAAAAAUAUGCGAAAUCAGAUGCUCAGUAUUCCUCAAUUAAAUUUUUUUAAAUCUUUUUUUUUUAAAUUUCAUUCUAUAACCUUUUUAUUCUGGUAACAUUGUGACUUUAUUAUUACAACUUUAUCCAGGUGAUGUUUUCCACCAAUAAUCCGCAGGUUUUUUUCUUACAACUUAUUUGAGCACAAAUAUUGAUCUUUUUAAAACUUUCACAUUCUCAAACAUGAUAGAUACACGUAUCAAUAAAACAAAACAAAACAAAAUAAAACCACAAAACAUUAACAGGCCAAAACAGAAACAUCGCACAGAUUCAACAAAGUAAAGAUUUUCUCUUCAUCUUCAUUUAAAUGAAUUUAUAAAGAUUCAUAGAAAACAUCAUUUUACAACUUAAAAACCUCCAACAUGAGAAUUAAACAAUAAUUAUUGACUGAUUUUUAGGGCAGAUUGUGAGGAAAACGACCCAAAACGGGUUUCAAAAUCUUAAUUAUUAGAGUUGAAGUUUGACUUCAGUAAAGAUCAGUGAGAAAUGUUAUAAUCUCCUGGAUUGAUUUCUGCUCCACUGGUUUGAAACAGUAGAGAGAAAGUUUUGUUUUGUUUUGUUUAGUUUAGUUUAGUUUAGUUUUGUUUUGUUUUGUUUUGUUUUUUAAAGUUGUUACAAUCUGAAACUAUCUCUGAUGAGAAAUGAAACUGAGAUUGUCUGACAUAAAUAUAGCGUGUUUUAAUAUUCAAGCUAAUAAUAAACUCGGUGACUCAUAAAUGAAUGAAUCGGCCUCAUGCAGACUUUGAUCAACAUGAUUAAUCUCAUUUAUCGCUGAUAUAAAGUUUAUUUUGCCUUUCAUCUUUAUAAUCACAAGAAGCUUCGCUGCUCGGUCGUGUUUUGAUUUUAUGUUCCAACGUGAAUUUUAUUGGUUUUAUUUACCUUUAUUUAAUUUAUGUUUCUGUUUUUAUGUAUUUUCCUGCUAUGUUCACUGAAAAGUAUUUUAAUAACCUUUUAUAUAAAUAAAUAGAAAAAUACUUAUUAAUUGAUCUCCGAAACGGUUCAGCGCGACUCAUUGACUUUUGACGAUAAUCCAAAUAUACAGUAGAUCUGAUGCUUUAAUGAGUGAUAGUGGCUCCACGGCGCCACCUGCUGUUUCCUCAUAUCAUCACACCUGGUCCCAUCUAAUGGAAUUCAUGUGUCGAUGUUUAAACCCGUUUAAACCCGUUUUAAACAUUGACUUGCUGUUGUUCCUGUGGUUCGGUUGGGUCAGCUGACGGCCUCCAGGAGCUUCGUGUCAAUUGAUCACAAAAUUCCACAAACUGGAACUAAAGAAAUAAAUUUGCUUCAUUACAAACUCUUUUUGAUCAAGCUUUGGUGCUACGAUGAUGCGGUUCUUCGGCCGAAUCAAAUGUGAUCAACAACCGGAUGUUACUGCUGGUGGAAAAGACGAAGACAGGAAGAGCAGGAGGAUGGUGGAGAAAUGUGGCCUAAUUUAUCGACUUAUCACUGAACAAACUUAAUCACUCAUCGUGUGACUUCAACUGAGUUUCAUAUUUGAUGGAAACAAUGUCAAUAAUCAGAAUAAUUUCACAUUCAUGUUUACCAGGGGAAAUAAUUUACCAAAUAAUUUGAUCCCAGCAGUUUUGGAUUUUAGCUCAUGAUGUUGAGCUGCUCCUUUAGAAACUGAUUGAGUUUUGGCUCAAAAAGGAAUUUUUUUCAUAAUAUUGCUGAAUAUAAACUAGGACCUGAAUUUGUAUCUGAUCUCAGAUCCAGAACAUAUUUAUGUUUGAAAAAUAUUUUUUAGCAUUUUUUGUAAUCAAAGAAUAUAAAUUCAGAUUUGCAACUCAAAAUUUGUUUAACAAAAUUUGUAUUCUUUCAGUUUUGAAAGAAGCCACUGAGAUUAUGACUUUUAUAUAUUUGAUUUUCUAAGAUGUUGAAAAAUCUCUAGAGAUGAUAAUUAUCACUAAUAACUAUUAUUAUUAUUAUGCAAAGCUGUACAUUUACAUUUUGCAUUUAACAUAAUGCAUUAAUUAAGCAAUGAAUGCUUUUGUUGAAAACUAUUGACCAGCUUGAAUUACCUGAUCAGUUUGAUGACAGAUUGUCUGUUUCGUUACAGAUUGUCUGUUUCGUUACAGAUUGUCUGUUUCGUUACAGAUUGUCUGUUUCGUUACAGAUUGCCCGUCCCUCCUCUCUGAUACUGAUUCACCACAACAUAACAGGCUGGCCCCUUUCAUCCUGGCAUCCUCAUCAUCAUCAUCCUCAUCAUCUUCAUCAUCAUCAUGUUUCAGGAAGAAAUUUGCCACAGAUGAAAUAAGCGCUGGGAGGAAAACUGGACUGGAAACAGGACUGGAACUGGAAAGGGGACUGGACCGGAGUUCAUGUGGAGCAAGUUGCUCCACAGCGGCGUCUGGACUGACGAGCGGCUUAUGUGGACAAGAGGAUUCUCUCAAAUACAUCUCAGUCCAGCAACCCGGACCAUCGUGACACCGGACUGAAACUCCGCCGCCUGCUCGCUUCACAAACUCCAGGAACGUGAAUAAAACUGAUGGAAAAAACUUGUACAACUCAAUUCAGAAAUUAACUGCUCUUAAUGCACGGCGUGGCCGAAAGUACAGCUGAAUCUAAAUGAUUUGUUUGAUUUGUAAAACUCCUCCAGAUAACAUGUAUUGUGAAUGAAUAAAAUGAAUAGAACAUAAA